rnacentral:rRNA from 1 species
UACGUAGGGCGCGAGCGUUGUCCGGAAUUAUUGGGCGUAAAGAGUUCGUAGGCGGCCUGUUGCGUCUGCUGUGAAAUCCCGGGGCUUAACCCCGGGCGUGCAGUGGAUACGGGCAGGCUGGAGGCAGGCAGGGGAGAAUGGAAUUCCCGGUGUAGCGGUGAAAUGCGCAGAUAUCGGGAGGAACACCGGUGGCGAAGGCGGUUCUCUGGGCCUGUUCUGACGCUGAGGAGCGAAAGCGUGGGGAGCGAACAGG